AACAAGGUUUCCGUAGGUGAACCUGCAGAAGGAUCAUUGU
rnacentral:rRNA from 4 species